rnacentral:lncRNA from 1 species
GUCAGUGUCCCCAUAGCACUGUGACCCCAACUCCCGUCGGUGUCCCCGCAGCGCUGUGACCCCAAUUCCCCACUGUGACCCCAAUUCCCAUCGGUGUCCCCACAGCACUGUGACCCCAAUUCCCCGCUGUGACCCCAAUUCCCAUCAGUGUCCCCACAGCACUGUGACCCCAAUUCCCGUCAGUGACCCCAAUUCCCAUCAGUGUCCCCACAGCGCUGUGACCCCAAUUCCCGUCGGUGUCCCCGCAGCACUGUGACCCCAAUUCCCGUCAGUGUCCCCACAGCACUGUGACCCCAAUUCCCGUCAGUGACCCCAAUUCCCCGCUGUGUCCCCAAUUCCCCGCUGUGACCCCAAUUCCCAUCGGUGUCCCCACCGCACUGUGACCCCAAUUCCCAUCGGUGUUCCCGCAGCACUGUGACCCCAAUUCCCGUCAGUGUCCCCAUAGCACUGUGACCCCAAACUCUGGUGGUGUCCCCACAUUGCUGUGUCCCCAUCUCCCCACCGUGUGGCACUGUGUCUCUGUCACUCAGCUCUGGCAGUGUCCCCUCUGUGUCCCUCUGGCACUGCGUCCCUCCCACCCCAAAAUCUGACAGUGUCCCCAUGUGUCCCCGUGAUCCCAAACUCUCAGUGUCCCCUCUGUGUCCC